rnacentral:lncRNA from 10 species
CCAUCCUAGGUGAGCGCGGCGCUCCGGGCACGACAGUAUUCCCCUGCCCCGCGCCCCCGGCCCGGCCCGCCCCGCGUGGGAAAUCGCCAGGGCUGUGGGAAGGCCGGGAAGGGGAAGUUUGUGUGCAGAGAGAAAGCUUUGCUGUACUGUGGCGUGGAGUGGGGUGGGAAGAGAAACAAGGGAGAGGCCGAGAAACAGGAAAUGAGAACGAAGGCACGAAUGUGAGCCAGGGCCAGCUGGGCUCCCCAUCGGUGUGGCGGUUUCCAGCCACUUCAGGCGCGGUGUGCGUUCCUAAUGACAACAAAGGCGGCGUCUGCCUGGUGCGUUCUCUGCCUCUUGCCACUCCUAGGUUCUGGGGAAAAUGGGAUGGGUGGUCCAACCUAGAGGAGGGGUCCCACAGCCUAAGAUGCGUCUUAGGAAGGCAGCAGGAUUCAGAGGAGGGGUCUGUCCUGGUCUUGAGGUUUCGAAGAGGAAGAAAUGUCUGAAAUUUGUGGAGCACUGCUCGAGUGAAGUAGCCUCAGCGGCGGGAGCGGGAAGGCGCGGGCGCAGCGAGGGCGUCGGGAACCCAGUGGGACUCGGGGGUGAGGGGUUGGUGGUUGCUGCGG